UAGCUCAGUUGGUAGAGCGCAACCUUGCCAAGGUUGAGGUCGCGAGUUCGAGACUCG
rnacentral:tRNA from 6 species